rnacentral:rRNA from 1 species
UAGGGAAUCUUCCGCAAUGGACGCAAGUCUGACGGAGCAACUCCGCGUGAGUGAAGAAGGAUUUCGGUUCGUAAAACUCUGUUGUUAGAGAAGAACAGCGCAUAGAGUAACUGUUAUGCGUGUGACGGUAUCUAACCAGAAAGCCACGGCUAACUACGUGCCAGCAGCCGCGGUAAUACGUAGGUGGCAAGCGUUGUCCGGAUUUAUUGGGCGUAAAGCGAGCGCAGGCGGUCAAUUAAGUCUGAUGUGAAAGCCCCCGGCUCAACCGGGGAGGGUCAUUGGAAACUGGUUGACUUGAGUGCAGAAGAGGAGAGUGGAAUUCCAUGUGUAGCGGUGAAAUGCGUAGAUAUAUGGAGGAACACCAGUGGCGAAGGCGACUCUCUGGUCUGUAACUGACGCUGAGGCUCGAAAGCGUGGGUAGCAAACAGG